UACGUAGGUGGCAAGCGUUGUCCGGAUUUACUGGGUGUAAAGGGCGUGUAGGCGGGUGCCUAAGUCAGACGUGAAAUACCGGGGCUCAACCCCGGGGCUGCGUUUGAAACUGGGUGUCUUGAGUGCGGGAGAGGAAAGUGGAAUUCCUAGUGUAGCGGUGAAAUGCGUAGAGAUUAGGAGGAACACCAGUGGCGAAGGCGACUUUCUGGACCGUAACUGACGCUGAGGCGCGAAAGUGUGGGGAGCAAACAGGAUUAGAUACCCUGGUAGUCCACACCGUAAACGAUGGAUACUAGGUGUCGGGGGUAUCGAGCCCUCCGGUGCCGCAGUUAACACAAUAAGUAUCCCACCUGGGGAGUACGAUCGCAAGGUUGAA
rnacentral:rRNA from 1 species